AUGGUGACAUUUGUAGCACUCACUGGCACAAAGGGACAAGGUAAAACCUCCGUGUUCUAUCAGCCAAGCCGAGACCGUGCCCGUCCUGCCGUGCCCCCUCACACACACAGCGCUCUCCCGGGCCGUGCCCUCACACACACAGCGCUCUCCCGGGCCGUGCCCUCACACACACAGCGCUCUCCCGGGCCGUGCCCUCACACACACAGCGCUCUCCCGGGCCGUGCUCACACACACAGCGCUCUCCCGGGCCGUGCCCUCACACACACAGCGCUCUCCCGGGCCGUGCUCACACACACAGCGCUCUCCCGGGCCGUGCCCUCACACACACAGCGCUCUCCCGGGCCGUGCUCACACACACAGCGCUCUCCCGGGCCGUGCCCUCACACACACAGCGCUCUCCCGGGCCGUGCUCACACACACAGCGCUCUCCCGGGCCGUGCCCUCACACACACAGCGCUCUCCCGGGCCGUGCUCACACACACAGCGCUCUCCCGGGCCGUGCCCUCACACACACAGCGCUCUCCCGGGCCGUGCUCACACACACAGCGCUCUCCCGGGCCGUGCCCUCACACACACAGCGCUCUCCCGGGCCGUGCUCACACACACAGCGCUCUCCCGGGCCGUGCCCUCACACACACAGCGCUCUCCCGGGCCGUGCUCACACACACAGCGCUCUCCCGGGCCGUGCCCUCACACACACAGCGCUCUCCCGGGCCGUGCUCACACACACAGCGCUCUCCCGGGCCGUGCCCUCACACACACAGCGCUCUCCCGGGCCGUGCCCUCACACACACAGCGCUCUCCCGGGCCGUGCCCUCACACACACAGCGCUCUCCCGGGCCGUGCCCUCACACACACAGCGCUCUCCCGGGCCGUGCCCUCACACACACAGCGCUCUCCCGGGCCGUGCCCUCACACACACAGCGCUCUCCCGGGCCGUGCCCUCACACACACAGCGCUCUCCCGGGCCGUGCCCUCACACACACAGCGCUCUCCCGGGCCGUGCCCUCACACACACAGCGCUCUCCCGGGCCGUGCCCUCACACACACAGCGCUCUCCCGGGCCGUGCCCUCACACACACAGCGCUCUCCCGGGCCGUGCCCUCACACACACAGCGCUCCCGGGCCGUGCCCUCACACACAGAGCGCUCCCGGGCCGUGCCCUCACACACAGAGCGCUCUCCCGGACCGUGCCUUCACACACACAGCGCUCUCCCGGGCCGUGCCCUCACACACACAGCGCUCUCCCGGGCCGUGCCCUCACACACACAGCGCUCUCCCGGGCCGUGCCCUCACACACACAGCGCUCCCGGGCCGUGCCCUCACACACAGAGCGCUCCCGGGCCGUGCCCUCACACACACAGCGCUCUCCCGGGCCGUGCCCUCACACACAGAGCACUCCCGGGCUGGCCUCGUCCCGCUCCCCUCCCUCACGCCGGCAGCUCCUAA
rnacentral:lncRNA from 1 species